rnacentral:rRNA from 1 species
UCGGGAAUUUUGGGCAAUGGGCGAAAGCCUGACCCAGCAACGCCGCGUGAAGGAUGAAGUAUUUCGGUAUGUAAACUUCGUAAGAAUAGGAAGAAUAAAUGACGGUACUAUUUGUAAGGUCCGGCUAACCACGUGCCAGCAGUCGCGGUAAUACGUAGGGACCAAGCGUUGUUCGGAUUUACUGGGCGUAAAGGGCGCGUAGGCGGUGUGUCAAGUCAGUUGUGAAAUCUCCGAGCUUAACUCGGAACGGUCAACUGAUACUGUCACACUAGAGUACAGAAGGGGCAAUCGGAAUUCUUGGUGUAGCGGUGAAAUGCGUAGAUAUCAAGAGGAACACCUGAGGCGAAGGCGGGUUGCUGGGCUGAUACUGACGCUGAGGCGCGAAAGCUAGGGUAGCAAACGGGAUUAGAUACCCAGGUAGUCCCUGAGCGGGCUGGCAAGGCGCAU